rnacentral:rRNA from 1 species
UACGGAGGGUGCGAGCGUUGUCCGGAAUCACUGGGCGUAAAGGGCGCGUAGGCGGCCUGAUAAGUAGGGGGGUGAAAUCCUGCGGCUUAACCGCAGGGCUGCCUUCUAAACUGUCAGGCUAGAGCACGGUAGAGGCAGAUGGAAUUCCCGGUGUAGCGGUGGAAUGCGUAGAGAUCGGGAAGAACAUCAGUGGCGAAGGCGGCUCUCUGGGACGGUACUGACGCUGAGACGCGAAAGCGUGGGGAGCGAACAGG